ACAGUCCACUCACAGAGCAGCAACAUGGCCGUACAAUAGCCAGGCUCUCCCAGGACUAAAUACUCAAAUAAAUGUUCUCUUUAUUCAAGCUUGGGCUACCAUUUCAUUGCAGAGUUUUGUUAAUUCAACAAAUUCUAUGAAACUGUCUUAUCUGGUAUGGAUGUAGAAGAAGGCUUUCCUUCCCUCUUUUGUAACGUUCUUAUUUUUCCAUAUUAUAAAAGCCAUGUAGAUGGUCAGUGUGGAGAAAACACUCAGAAGUGUUCAGAUAAAAAUUUUUAAAAAUCUAUAAUUACACUAAUCAGAAAUAACUGCUGUCAGUAUCUUGGCAUAUCUAAUUCAAUAUUUUCUUUUCAGAUUGGUACAUAUUUAUUUUGCAGAGGUUCUGAGAAUAUUUGUAAAUUCUUUGUGGCCCUAAUGCUAUAGGCUAGAAUUUAUUUCAGGGGCAGAUUCCCUCUUUUCAGAAGAGUUACUCUGAUAAGCAUAUCCAGUAAUAUUGAUACAAGUUAAACAAGAGGUUUUUUUUCAUACUGUAGCCCUGAAUAUUGGUAAUGUAAUUCCACAACCUCAACUUUUACUAUAUUGUUACUAGUCCUAAUGCAUGGUCAUCCUAAUAGAAACGGCUGUUUACCAUAUACACUAAAAUAUGUCCUAUUUAAAAUGCAUGAUCCUGUUUAAUCCUCACAAUAACACUAUAUGGUAUGUUUUACUAUUAUCCCCAUUUUGCAGAUGAGGAAACCAAGACACAGAGAAGAUAAACAACUUGCCUGAAGUCACAAAUGGUAAGUGGUGGAGCUGGGAUGUGAACCUGGACAUCCCAACUCCAGAGUCUGUGCUCCUUCUUUAGACAGAGAUGUUAAUUGAGGUGUUUAGUAAGGUAAAGGCUGUCUUUGCUGUGGGCUGGCUGUAAAAAUCAUAGUUAUAUUUGCUGGCAUUAUUUGGAUUCCUUUAGCAUGUUUAAAUACAAGGGUGCUCUCCUAGGGGUAGGGGUGGAGGAACGAGGGGAGGAGAGAGAGAAUAAAAGGAAACUAUAGUUGGGAAAAGUGUGCCUCUCAACGUGGCAGCGGGCCAGAGGCCAGGAGCUAAGGAGGAAGGAUGGACAUGACUCCCUGUGAACACACAUGGCCAGUGGAUUUUAAGAGCAAUGAUACAUUAAUUCCAAUUUGAUGUUUUCCUUUCUUGCCUUGUAAUCUGGCUAUGCUAUCCUCAAGCCAUAUUUAAACUUAUUAAACCAUGAGAGGCCCCUGUUAGCUGGUCUCUGAAGAAUAAAACAGUGGUGGGUUGUUUCCAUGUUUGGGGCUUCGCUGGACUGAAAAGAGGGGGAAUUGCAUAUGGAAGGAAUGACGAAACAGGCAAAAGUGACUGAAGAAGAAGCCUGGGGCAGCUACUGAGCAAGAACUGUGGGAAACAAAAACCAGGGCACUCUGAAGAUCAGACAUAAUUGCAGAAAGGGCCAGAUUUCUUGUAGUCCUGUAGAAUGGAGCAUGGAUUUAUGCCUGGAUAUUAUGGGAAGGCAUGGCCCCAUAAAUCUUGAAAACUGCAGAUGCUCGGGUUACAUAUAUAAUACAAAACAUGAGACAUAGUUUAUAUAUAUAUAAUAUAUACACAUAUAUAUAUACACAUAUAUACACAUAUAUAUAUAAAAUAGAUUUGACUUAUAAAACUUGAAUCACGUGCAUAGUUUGAUAUUAUGGCUUUUUAUUUAUUUACUUAUUUUGAGACAGGGUGUUUCUCUGUCACCCAGGCUGGAGUGCAGUGGUACGACCACAGCUCACUGCAACCUCUGCCUCCCAGGUUCAGAUGAUCCUUCCACUUCAGCCUCCCGAGUAGCUGGGACUACAGGCUCAUGCCACCACAACCAGCUAAUUUUUCUAGUUUUAGUAGAGAUGGGGGUUUUGCCAGGUGGCCCAGGCUUGUCUUGAACUCCUGGGCUUAAGCGAUCCUCCCACCUCAGCCUCCCAAAGUGCUGGGAUUACAGAUAUGAGCCACUGUACCUGACCUCAUGCCUUUUUUAAACAUAGCAUUUUAUUGUGGGUACUUUAAUAAUUUAAAGUAAAUGUUUUUGAAAAUGGAAUUUUUCAAUGGCAGAAUGUUAUUAUAAAGAUAUGCCAUAAUUUUCACAAUGAUUUCCCUAUUGUUAGACAUCUAGGAUGUUUUCCAAUUUUUUGCCUAUGUAAAUAACAAUGAGACAAGGAUAUCUAUUAUCACCAAUUACUGGAUAGCUUAGCAAUACAAUAUGACAUGAAAAAAAUGAGAACAU
rnacentral:lncRNA from 1 species